rnacentral:rRNA from 1 species
GGCAAUGCCAGUCAUCCCGGGGUCAGUCGGGUCCUAAGUCUAAGCCGAACGGCGAUGGCGAUGGCAGAGACGGUUAAUAUUCCGUCACUGCCGCAUGGGGCGACGUGGAGACGGAGCAGUGAAACCACCGCGGGGCGACGGAAGUCCCCGUUGAAGAGUGUAGGUGUUGAGGAUGGCAGGCAAAUCCACCAUCCGAGCUGAACUUGAUAGUAUGGAGUCUUCUUCGGAAGAAUCCAAUAGUGUGGGUAAUCAUACUCCCGAGAAAAUCCGCUAAGCUUAACCCAUGCGGCACCCGUACCGCAAACGGACACACGUGGUCGGGUAGAACAUACUAAGGCGUUGAGAGAUUCAUGGUUAAGGAACUAGGCAAAUUGACCCUGUAACUUCGGGAUAAAGGGUCCUCGUGAUGAGCGAGGCGCAGAGAAUAGGUCCAGGCAACUGUUUAACAAAAACACAGGGCUGUGCAAAAUUGAAAGAUGAAGUAUACAGCCUGACACCUGCCCGGUGCUGGAAGGUUAAGAGGAGAUGUCAUCGCAAGAGAAGCAUUGAAUUGAAGCCCCAGUAAACGGCGGCCGUAACUAUAACGGUCCUAAGGUAGCGAAAUUCCUUGUCGGGUAAGUUCCGACCUGCACGAAUGGUGUAAUGAUCCGGACGCUGUCUCAACCGUGAGCUCAGUGAAAUUGUAGUAUCGGUGAAGAUGCCGAUUACCCGCGAUGGGACGAAAAGACCCCGUGAACCUUUACUGCAGCUUAGCACUGACCUUGGUCAUCCGAUGUGUAGGAUAGGCCGGAGGCUAUGAAGCCGGUACGCCAGUAUUGGUGGAGCCGCCGUUGAAAUACGGCCCUUUGGCUGUCUGAGGUCUAACGCGUGAUUCGCGGACACUGCUUGGCGGGCAGUUUGACUGGGGUGGUCGCCUCCAAAAGCGUAACGGAGGCUUCCAAAGGUGCCCUCGGGCCGAUUGGUAACCGGCCUUACAGAGUGCAAUGGCAUAAGGGCGCUUGACUGGGAGGGAGACAUCCCGAGCAGGCAGGAAACUGGGGCAUAGUGAUCCGGCGGACGUGUAUGGAAACUCCGUCGCUCAAAGGAUAAAAGGUACUCCGGGGAUAACAGGCUGAUCCCCCCCAAGAGCUCAUAUCGACGGGGUGGUUUGGCACCUCGAUGUCGGCUCGUCACAUCCUGGGG